rnacentral:rRNA from 1 species
CUUGACGAUCAUAGAGGCGUUGAACCACCUGAUCCCAUCCCGAACUCAGCAGUGAAAAGCGCCAUCGCCGAUGGUAGUGUGGGGGAUCCCA